UUUCCGUAGGGUCGUAGAAUUUUCGCGUCCGCCGUCGGUGUGUUUUUCGUUUUUCUCGCGUGCGUGUGUGCGUGUGAAGGUGCGGCUGGCUUUGGCUGUCCCGAUGACAGUUGAGCCAGUCAGAUUUGCGAUUCCUUUUCGUAGGGUCGUAAAAUUUUCGCGUCCGCCGUCGGUGUGUUUUUCGUUUUUCUCGCGUGCGUGUGUGCGUGUGAAGGUGCGGCUGGCUUUGGCUGUCCCGAUGACAGCUAGCCAGUUUGAUUUGACCCUAUCAACACCCUAUCAUACCAUUUCAGCUCGAUACACAUCGAAACUCGUCGUUCGCACCGUUAAUCAGUACCUCACUGAACAUCAAUCAUUUAAAACUCGUAAAAUCAUCUCAAGUUAAAAGUUACAUUGUUGUCCUUCAUUCUUUAAUUACAAAUGAUUUUUGUUCUAUCUUUCCACAGCCGGCUGUCUAGGACUAGACCAUUUCAUUUAAAAUUUAACAACCGAUAAACGGGAAAUGUCUCAUCCGCAGCAUCCGAUUGUUUGCCUUGAGAAUAAUAUAUAACAUCUUUUAACAAACACUAUGAUUUUGGGUCGCAUCAUCAUCUUCUAUGAUGAAUCCUGACCAAACACCCUAUCCUACUAACAAGUUUUCAGGUUCCUGGCGCUCGUGGGGUGUAAGCACAGAGUAAAUCAGCUGCCCUAGUAGCAACCUGCGCUAACUAACAUUCCCGUCCCUUAAAAUCGAGGUCUACAAACUGACAUGGCGGGCGCCGUUGGUGGCCAAUGACUGUUACCUAUUCGCAACUGAUCUAGCUUUAGCAAUCAUGGUGUUUUAUCUUUUCAGCGCAUUCAUACAUGCUGUUGAUAAGGGAAACACCACUAGAUCGUCGAAGCCUAUAAUCAGUAGUGCUGAAAGGAUAUUACGGUUCUGUUCAGCAACGGAGGGGCAACCAUGGGUGAUCUCUCAUGCU